CCUAAAAUUGGAAAAUAAAUAACAACACAAUUAAUGAAUCUCACAUACAUUUUUCUAACUUUGAUCUCUUUCUUUUUUCACUCCAUAUCCAUUGCAUCUCUUUCCUGCUCUCUCUCUCUCUUUUUUUUUUUUUUUUUUUUUUCUCUUCUAUAAAUAUUUUGAGGCAAAAUCCUUGUCCACAGCAAACCCAUGUGCCCAAUCCAUUUUCUUCUUUCAAAAUUUUGUGGUAAAUCUGGGUUGAAGCAAAUCAGUAGCUCUCUGCAUCUCGAAAGCUGGAAGCAAAUCAACAGGGAGCUCUCAGAAGCCUCUGCUAUUAUUCAAUCAGGCCAUGUUAAUGCCCUUAUAAGAAGAUUAGGGCCGACUCUUUCAAAGGUUCAUUGCAUAACGCUCUGAUGCCUAACUCUUUGUUCGAAAAUACACAUUGAACAAAGAAAUGGAGUUGAAACGUAUUACAGAACAAAGACAGGAAGUACGAUCAGUUUUGUCUGAACCAUCUGUUCGAUCACUUGAAGAUCCUUUUUAUUGGAUUUUUGCAGAUUCGCUUCGUCAGUGGGCUGACAAUGUUGCUCCACCACAAGAAAAAAGUUUUUUUUUGAUGUCAAUUGUUCUUGAGUCUUGACAACACUUCCAUCCAAUGCUUCCAUGGAAAAGUACCAGUGUCGAAGGUUACCUCUAUGAAAAGCUUCCAGGAGGUAGUCCCUCUGAAUGCUGGAAAUGUGCUAGGAGUGGAAGAUACGAGACCAAUUCCAAAAUGGGAGGCAAUCAUUCGAAGAACUCUGAACAAAUCCUUAGAACCUGAAAGCAUACACAAAAGCUAUAGUGCCCCACCCUCUCCAGUGUUAAGAACUUCUUCUGUUGCUGAUGUACUUGCAGAUGAUAUUGAUCCGUUAGAUUUAAUGAGUGAGGAACCAAUCGGGACCGCAAAUUGUUAUGAUCUCGAAGGAGAUGAUUCAAGUAAAGUAAUAGGUGCUGGAAAGAACUUAGUAAUUUCAGAGAACGGAUUUUUUUCUGUGAGCAUGUCGCUUUGUUAAUCACGGUUGUGCUUUGUUUGUUAUCAUUUGACCUCUGGUCAGAAGGAAGGUGCUGAACAGAGGUGUAACUCAGAUGUAUAUGAAAUCAUACGACGUACCCAUUUUGCAUCAUCUGUCUUUAACGUAGAUCAACCAACAACAAUUCCUUCACAUGAGUAAGCAGAUUAAUUGAUGUUAAAGUUGCAUUUACAUAAUAUCAUUUUUUCUUUGUACAUUUUAUCUGUUGAGAAAUGAAUUUAUGAUGAUUAGAAACAACGGUACAGUUACUUGGUAUGUGUGGUGACACAAGCGAUGACCAUGAAGAAAGAAAAUGUGAAAAUAGGAGUUGUUUCUUUAAAGAUACAAUAAAGUGUAUUCUGAAAUUAUACUUUAUAAAGUUUUAUAUUCGUAGGAGAUCCGAAAGGAACCAAUAUGAAAGAUGUUUAAAAUUUUGUGUGGCUGAGUGUUAGAAUAACAGUUAACCAAGGCUCACGUAUUGCUGAAGUGCUAAUGCUUAUCCAAGCUAUAGUUACUGGUCAUCUUUAUCUUUAUCUCUGUUUAUCAUAUUUCUGUACAGCUGAAUGUAAUCUGUAUCAGUAUAUUCAACAUCAAUGAACAAGUUGAGACCCGAUUACUACACCA